AGAAUCAACGCUGGCGGCGUGCCUAACACAUGCAAGUCGCACGAGAAAGGGACUUCGGUCCUGAGUAAAGUGGCGCACGGGUGAGUAACACGUGAAUCAUCUACCCUCGAGUGGGGAAUAACCUAGAGAAAUCUGGGCUAAUACCGCAUAACACUUACGAGUCAAAGCAGCAAUGCGCUUGGGGAGGAGUUCGCGGCCGAUUAGCUAGUUGGCGGGGUAAUGGCCCACCAAGGCGAUGAUCGGUA
rnacentral:rRNA from 1 species